GACGAACGCUGGCGGCGUGCCUAACACAUGCAAGUGGAGCGACGAACCGGGCUUCGGCCCGGGGCAAAGCCGCGAACGGGUGAGUAACACGUGGGUAACCUGCCCUGAUGAUUGGGACAACCCGAGGAAACUCGGGCUAAUACCGAAUGUGCCCUACGGCCUCAAGGCCACUGGGGAAAGGAAGCUUCGGCCUCCGCAUCGGGAUGGGCCCGCGGCCCAUUAGCUUGUUGGUGAGGUAAUGGCUCACCAAGGCGACGAUGGGUAGCUGGUCUGAGAGGACGAUCAGCCACACUGGGACUGAGACACGGCCCAGACUCCUACGGGAGGCAGCAGUGGGGAAUCUUGCGCAAUGCGCGAAAGCGUGACGCAGCAACGCCGCGUGGGGGAAGACGGCCUCGGUGUAACCUUACUA
rnacentral:rRNA from 1 species